GGAAAAGCAUAUGCACAUUGGUAUAGGAAAUGCAUAUGCCAAUUGAAAAAACGUCGUACCUUCGUCUACUUACCAGUGACAAUAUCAGGCAGAAAGCAAUGGAAGUGAAUGGGGCUAAAGCCAUUAGGAACUUUUGAGCUCUGCAUAACGCCGAAGUAGCCUGGAAAAAGCGCCGCCAUUGUUUCCUAUGG